rnacentral:rRNA from 1 species
AUUGAACGCUGGCGGCAGGCUUAACACAUGCAAGUCGAACGAGUGGCGGACGGGUGAGUAAUGCUUGGGAAUCUAGCUUAUGGAGGGGGAUAAAUACGGGAAACUGUAGCUAAUACCGCGUACCAUAGGAUGAGCCCAAGUGGGAUUAGGUAGGUGGUGAGGGAAAGGCUCACCAAGCCGACGAACUAUAGCUGGUCUGCGAGGAUGACCAGCCACACUGGGACGGAGACACUGCCCAGACUCCUACGGGAGGCAGCAGUGGGGAAUAUUGCGCAAUGGGGGCAACCUGAUGCAGCCUUGCCGCGUGAAUGAAGAAGGCCUUCGGGUUGUAAAGUUCUUUCGGUAGCGAGGCGUUAACUACAGAAGAAGCACCGGCUAACUCCGUGCCAGCCGCCGCGGUAAUAC